rnacentral:lncRNA from 1 species
AGAAAAUACUACAGAAAAAUUCUUUGAACUUCCUCAGAAAUCCUCCAAUGCAACUGAGGCCCUAAUUCAACUAUACUACACCCCUGGCCAUGAGCCACUUAAUCCUCCCAGAUAAAUCUUUUUCUGAGACGAUAGCAACGAUCAAGAAGAACUGCAUAUGGUUCACUGAAACAACCCGUGAGUUCAUCGAAAAACUCACACGGUCACACCAGUUUCCUCCCAAACCAACGCGAUCAGCAUUGCAGCUUGGAGUGGCUACUCGAACGCAUCGUCAGCAGCACACGCGACUGCCGCGAACACGUCC